rnacentral:rRNA from 1 species
UACGGGGGGGGUAAGCGUUGUUCGGAAUUACUGGGCGUAAAGGGCUCGUAGGCGGCCAACUAAGUCAGACGUGAAAUCCCUCAGCUUAACUGGGGAACUGCGUCUGAUACUGGAUGGCUUGGAUUCGGGAGAGGAAUGCGGAAUUCCAGGUGUAGCGGUGAAAUGCGUAGAUAUCAGGAAGAACACCAACGGCGAAGGCAGCUCGCUGGGACGGAACUGACGCUGAGGCGCGAAAGCGUGGGGAGCGAACAGG